rnacentral:rRNA from 1 species
AUUGAACGCUGGCGGCAGGCCUAACACAUGCAAGUCGAGCGGAUGAAGGGAGCUUGCUCCUGGAUUCAGCGGCGGACGGGUGAGUAAUGCCUAGGAAUCUGCCUGGUAGUGGGGGAUAACGUCCGGAAACGGGCGCUAAUACCGCAUACGUCCUGAGGUAGAAAGUGGGGGAUCUUCGGACCUCACGCUAUCAGAUGAGCCUAGGUCGGAUUAGCUAGUUGGUUGGGUAAAGGCCUACCAAGGCGACGAUCCGUAACUGGUCUGAGAGGAUGAUCAGUCACACUGGAACUGAGACACGGUCCAGACUCCUACGGGAGGCAGCAGUGGGGAAUAUUGGACAAUGGGCGAAAGCCUGAUCCAGCCAUGCCGCGUGUGUGAAGAAGGUCUUCGGAUUGUAAAGCACUUUAAGUUGGGAGGAAGGGCAGUAAGUUAAUACCUUGCUGUUUUGACGGUACCAACAGAAUAAGCACCGGCUAACUUCGUG